CCUGUGCCUAAAGGUGCUGCAGGUGUGGUUGCUGUGUCACAUGUGCAUCAGUAGUUGACGGAGAGGCAAGAAGCUAUGUCUACACUCAGUGCUCUCACCUAUAAACAUCUGAAUGACUAGUAACCUAACCUU
ensembl:snoRNA